GUAGAAGACCCAGUGGCCACCGCGAGCGUGAGGAGGCGGGGCCUGGCGGAGCCUGGGUCUGGGCCUUGACCAAGGAGGCAGAGAAAGGUGGCCCAAGGAGGGCGCUGGGGUGCUGCUGUGGUCGGCCAACAAGGUGUUUGAGGAGCUGACGGACAUCGAGAGGCAGUUCCACAAGGCCUUCUACACGGUGCGGGCCUACCUCAACUGCGAGCGGUACUCCGUGGGCCUCCUGGAUAUGACCAAGGAGAAGGAAUUUUUUGACGUGUGGCCUGUGCUGAUGGGAGAGUCCCAGCCGUACUCGGGCCCACGCACGCCUGAUGGCCGGGUGAGUCUUAGGGGAGGGGCCCAGGGCCCGUCCACACGCCUCUGUUUCCCUGGCUCCAACUGCAGGGCAGGAGAGGGAGGAAUAGGGGUGGGGUUUAGGGAGGUGGGAACUGGCGGGUGGGCCCCCGGGUGCCUGUCUGUCGUCUCCACCAGGCUCCCCUGCUGCACUCCAGGGAUGGAGUGUCCAGGGCUGGUCCCUGAAUGAGGGCCUCCAGGCU
rnacentral:sRNA from 1 species